GGAGACUAUUGUAAUAUAUUAGCGAAUACUUGCUGAGUCAGAUUUGUUAAUGAAUAUUAUCGUAAGUUUAAUAUGACGGAGAUACGGCUGUCUAAGCCCCGGAAAUUUUUGAAACAAAUUUAGUAAUCUCUAUGAUCCUACCAUUAGAUCAUUUAUGUGACUCCAAUAUGAAAUAAGCUUCGGUAUAUCGGAAUCCUUUUACCUCAAGUUAAGUCCCUUCUUCAGAAAACACUAAUCGAAGAAUUGCUAGAACCAAAAAUAAGUAUUGGCACUUCCCAUAUUUACCAUGUUCCACCCUCCCUGCCUUGUCACUCCGCCCCCCUCCUUGAAAGCCCCUUGUUGUCGUCUCAGUUCUACGCCACAGGAGUAUGAAAUAUUAUGUGAUGAAAUCACUCGAAUAUAUGAACUGAAACGUAAACAGUAUAAACAAGAUACUUGAUACACAAAAUCUAAAAUAUGUCUUAAGAAUAAAAGACAUCUUUAUGUUUUAUCUUACCACUUCUUUUCAAAACAAAUUUCAAGUGACAUAUGCAAAAGUCACAUUUACUGCCUGGACCAUUUGCAGCUCAAGCAACCAACCAAAUCACGCAUACGCUUACUCCGCAAUGCAAAAUCUGUGCUAUUACUCUUACCUUUUUCCUUAGUUUUAUUCUUACUAGGAUACGUCUUCAGAAAAUCUUUAUAAGGCUCCGGAGGAGGUAAAUCCGUGUUAAAAUUAAAUCUCUUUUCAAAAUCAUCUGU
rnacentral:lncRNA from 1 species